CGUGUAGGCGGCUAGGUAAGUCGGAUGUGAAAGUCCCGGGCUCAACCCGGGAAGUGCAUUCGAAACUGCUUGGCUAGAGUAAGAGAGAGGAAAGUGGAAUUCCUGGUGUAGAGGUGAAAUUCGUAGAUAUCAGGAGGAACACCGGUGGCGAAGGCGGCUUACUGGCUCUAUACUGACGCUGAGACGCGAAAGCGUGGGUAGCAAACAGGAUUAGAUACCCUGGUAGUC
rnacentral:rRNA from 1 species